rnacentral:rRNA from 1 species
AUUGAACGCUGGCGGCAGGCCUAACACAUGCAAGUCGAGCGGAUGAAGGGAGCUUUCUCCUGGCUUCCGCGGCGGACGGGUGAGUAAUGCCUAGGAAUCUGCCUGGCAGUGGGGGCUAACGUCCGGACACGGGCGCUAAUACCGCAUACGUCCUGAUGGUGAAAGUGGGGGAUCUUCGGACCUCACGCUAUCAGAUGAGCCUAGGUCGGAUUAGCUAGUUGGUGGGGUAAAGGCCUACCAAGGCGACGAUCCGUAACUGGUCUGAGAGGAUGAUCAGUCACACUGGAACUGAGACACGGUCCAGACUCCUACGGGAGGCAGCAGUGGGGAAUAUUGGACAAUGGGCGAAAGCCUGAUCCAGCCAUGCCGCGUGUGUGAAGAAGGUCUUCGGAUCGUAAAGCACUUUAAGUUGGGAGGAAGGGCAGUAAGUUAAUACAUUGCUGUUUUGACGUUACCAACAGAAUAAGCACCGGCUAACUUCGUG